GCGGCUGUCUGGACCGGUAGUCGACGGUCCUACGGUUCCUUCCCGACCCCCACCCCCACGGAGCCAGAUUUACCUGGCACCUUUCGUCCUUUUCAUCUUGUUUUGAGUUGGUUAUAAACAGGAACCAUGACCGCAGCUGAGAACGUGUGCUAUACGUUAAUUAACGUGCCAAUGGACUCAGAACCCCCUUCUGAAAUCAGCUUAAAAAAUGACCUGGGUAAAUAGUUUCUUAACUCAGAUAGGAAUUGUUUUAAUUGAUAGGUUAAAAAUAUAAAAAUUGGACAUAAAAUUAUAAAAUAUAAAAAUUAAUGUGAUGUUUU
rnacentral:lncRNA from 1 species